AACGAACGUUAGCGGCGCGCUUAACACAUGCAAGUCGAGCGAGAAAGAGGGCAACCUCCGGUAAAGCGGCGCACGGGUGAGUAACACGUAGGUAACCUACCCCCAGGUGGUGGAUAACCUCCCGAAAGGGGGGCUAAUACAGCAUAAGACCAUGCCUUCGAAAGAAGGUGAGGUCAAAGUCGGCCUCUAUUCAUAAGCUGACGCCAGGGGACGGGCCUGCGGCCCAUCAGGUAGUUGGUAGGGUAACGGCCUACCAAGCCGAAGACGGGUAGCUGGUCUGAGAGGAUGAUCAGCCACACUGGAACUGAGACACGGUCCAGACUCCUACGGGAGGCAGCAGUGGGGAAUCUUGCGCAAUGGGCGAAAGCCUGACGCAGCGACGCCGCGUGAGUGAUGAAGGCCUUCGGGUUGGUAAAGCUCUGUGGGGGGGAGACGAAUAAGUCAUGGCCGAACAUCCAUGAUGAUGACGGU
rnacentral:rRNA from 1 species